UACGAAGGGGGCAAGCGUUGUUCGGAAUCAUUGGGCGUAAAGCGCGUGUAGGCUGUCUAUUAAGUCGGGUGUGAAAUCCCUGGGCUCAACCGAGGAAGUGCAUUCGAAACUAAUAGACUAGAAGGUGGUAGAGGAUGGUGGAAUUCCAGGUGUAGAGGUGAAAUUCGUAGAUAUCUGGAGGAAUACCGGUGGCGAAGGCGGCCAUCUGGGCCACCCUUGACGCUGAGACGCGAAAGCGUGGGUAGCAAACAGG
rnacentral:rRNA from 1 species